ACGGAGGAACCCGAAAAUCCGUAAAUAAUUAGAGUAGGGA
rnacentral:ncRNA from 1 species